AAACCCAGAAAAGCGACGGACAGAGUGGUUUAGUCCGUCGCUUUUUUGGGUUUUA
rfam:Solanum tuberosum cultivar DM 1-3 516 R44 scf00802_1, whole genome shotgun sequence.